CACACAUUAUACAAGUAAUCAACAACUGCCCUACUUGAAGCAGAGGUAUACCAGUCCUAAGUGCUCACACUAUACAAGUAAUCAACAACUGCCCUACUUGAAGCAGAGGUAUACCAGUCCUAAGUGCUCACACUAUACAAGUAAUCAACA